rnacentral:rRNA from 1 species
UACGAAGGGGGCUAGCGUUGCUCGGAAUCACUGGGCGUAAAGCGCACGUAGGCGGAUUGCUAAGUCAGGGGUGAAAUCCUGGAGCUCAACUCCAGAACUGCCUUUGAUACUGGCGACCUUGAGUCCGGGAGAGGUGAGUGGAACUGCGAGUGUAGAGGUGAAAUGCGUAGAUAUCUGGAGGAACACCGGUGGCGAAGGCGACAUCCUGGACCGGUAUUGACGCUGAGGCGCGAAAGCCAGGGGAGCAAACGGG